AGAGUUUGAUCCUGGCUCAGGAUGAACGCUGGCGGCGUGCUUAACACAUGCAAGUCGAACGAUGAUCCCAGCUUGCUGGGGGAUUAGUGGCGAACGGGUGAGUAACACGUGAGUAACCUGCCCUUAACUCUGGGAUAAGCCUGGGAAACUGGGUCUAAUACCGGAUAUGACUCCUCAUCGCAUGGUGGGGGGUGGAAAGCUUUAUUGUGGUUUUGGAUGGACUCGCGGCCUAUCAGCUUGUUGGUGAGGUAAUGGCUCACCAAGGCGACGACGGGUAGCCGGCCUGAGAGGGUGACCGGCCACACUGGGACUGAGACACGGCCCAGACUCCUACGGGAGGCAGCAGUGGGGAAUAUUGCACAAUGGGCGAAAGCCUGAUGCAGCGACGCCGCGUGAGGGAUGACGGCCUUCGGGUUGUAAACCUCUUUCAGUAGGGAAGAAGCGAAAGUGACGGUACCUGCAGAAGAAGCGCCGGCUAACUACGUGCCAGCAGCCGCGGUAAUACGUAGGGCGCAAGCGUUAUCCGGAAUUAUUGGGCGUAAAGAGCUCGUAGGCGGUUUGUCGCGUCUGCCGUGAAAGUCCGGGGCUCAACUCCGGAUCUGCGGUGGGUACGGGCAGACUAGAGUGAUGUAGGGGAGACUGGAAUUCCUGGUGUAGCGGUGAAAUGCGCAGAUAUCAGGAGGAACACCGAUGGCGAAGGCAGGUCUCUGGGCAUUAACUGACGCUGAGGAGCGAAAGCAUGGGGAGCGAACAGGAUUAGAUACCCUGGUAGUCCAUGCCGUAAACGUUGGGCACUAGGUGUGGGGGACAUUCCACGUUUUCCGUACCGUAGCUAACGCAUUAAGUGCCCCGCCUGGGGAGUACGGCCGCAAGGCUAAACUCAAGGAAUUGACG
rnacentral:rRNA from 1 species